rnacentral:rRNA from 1 species
UAGCUAGUUGGUGAGGUAAAGGCUUACCAAGGCGACGAUCUGUAGCGGGUCUGAGAGGAUGAUCCGCCACACUGGAACUGAGACACGGUCCAGACUCCUACGGGAGGCAGCAGUGGGGAAUUUUGGACAAUGGGGGCAACCCUGAUCCAGCCAUGCCGCGUGAGUGAAGAAGGCCUUCGGGUUGUAAAGCUCUUUCGGCCGGGAAGAAAUCGCAUGGGCCAAUACCCUGUGUGGAUGACGGUACCGGAAUAAGAAGCACCGGCUAACUACGUGCCAGCAGCCGCGGUAAUACGUAGGGUGCGAGCGUUAAUCGGAAUUACUGGGCGUAAAGCGUGCGCAGGCGGUUUUGUAAGACAGGCGUGAAAUCCCCGGGCUUAACCUGGGAACUGCGUUUGUGACUGCAAGGCUAGAGUACGGCAGAGGGGGGUGGAAUUCCACGUGUAGCAGUGAAAUGCGUAGAGAUGUGGAGGAACACCAAUGGCGAAGGCAGCCCCCUGGGUCGAUACUGACGCUCAUGCACGAAAGCGUGGGUAGCAAACAGGAUUAGAUACCCUGGUAGUCCACGCCCUAAACUAUGUCAACUAGGUGUUGGGUGGGUAAAACCAUUUAGUACCGUAGCUAACGCGUGAAGUUGACCGCCUGGGGAGUACGGCCGCAAGGUUAAAACUCAAAGGAAUUGACGGGGACCCGCACAAGCGGUGGAUGAUGUGGAUUAAUUCGAUGCAACGCGAAAAACCUUACCUACCCUUGACAUGCCAGGAACUUGCCAGAGAUGGCUUGGUGCCCGAAAGGGAGCCUGGACACAGGUGCUGCAUGGCUGUCGUCAGCUCGUGUCGUGAGAUGUUGGGUUAAGUCCCGCAACGAGCGCAACCCUUGUCGUUAAUUGCCAUCAUUUAGUUGGGCACUUUAACGAGACUGCCGGUGACAAACCGGAGGAAGGUGGGGAUGACGUCAAGUCCUCAUGGCCCUUAUGGGUAGGGCUUCACACGUCAUACAAUGGUCGGUACAAAGGGUUGCCAAGCCGCGAGGCGGAGCCAAUCCCAGAAAGCCGAUCGUAGUCCGGAUUGCAGGCUGCAACUCGCCUGCAUGAAGUCGGAAUCGCUAGUAAUCGUGGAUCAGCAUGUCACGGUGAAUACGUUCCCGGGUCUUGUACACACCGCCCGUCACACCAUGGGAGCGGGUUCCGCCAGAAGUAGGUAGCCUAACCGCAAGGGGGGCGCUUACCACGGCGGGGUUCGUGACUGGGGUGAAGUCGAAACAAGGUAGCCGUAGGGGGACCUGCGGCUG